rnacentral:pre_miRNA from 1 species
AAUGUGACUGCUGGAUUAUAUGUUUGUUAACUUUGUAAGAAACUCCCAAACUGUCUUCUAAAAUAGCUAUAGCAUUUUGCCUUCCUCCCAGCAAU